CAGACCUAUUCUGGCCAAAUAAUCAAAUCAGCAAAAUUCCCCUUUUGCGUUGUCCUGGUGGCUCCUCCUCUGUUAGCAGUUUGAUGGAGAGAGCACUGGACGAGUUAGACCCCAGGUCUGGUCCUCCCUUCGUCUACUUUCAGGAGUUUUGUGGGCAAGUCACUGCCCUUAACAAACCUACAUAGUUACCAUUAAAAUGUGAACGCAAAUACUGAUCCUAUCUACCCUACAAGGUUGCUGUGAGGAUCAAAAGUAUCACAAUCUGGGGAAACAUUUCAAAAACUGUAACGCGGAACAUAGAUGUAAACUAUUGCAUAGGACCAAAUCAUCGAUCUUAAAUUUAAUUGCAUCGGCUUUUCCCAUCUGUCCUUUCUAAGCAGCUUAACUGAAUUUAAGAAACAGUUGCUACCUGGAGUGACCCACUGUGUGUGCGUUCUGUUGUCUGGAAAAAUGUCAAAUCAGCUGCAGAGCACACUGGGACAGGCAUUAUUAUAAUUCACUACAUCAUACCAUUAGUUAGAGGGAAUGCUUUAAAUCCAACCAGGUGAGUUUUUUUCUUUCUACUCAGUUUUAGAAGAAAAGGUACUGAACUGUCAUUAAGAAAAAAAUGAUAACACUUUUGUUAACUUCACAGCCAUUUACUCUAUUAUCUUUUUUGCCAUUUUUUGCAGAAGUCACGUUUCACUCUCAGAAAAGCACUGAGCUGACUUACCGAUCAAUGGGACUUGCUAAGAGCAAGGAAGUCCCUGACUGAGGAACAUCCACCUACCCUACCAAGAUGUUGGACACACUGUUCCAAAAGUUGAAGGAUGUUCUCUCACGGGAGAGAGAAUAUCUAAACAAUCCACUGGGCUGGCAGGCACUGCAUGAAGAAAUUCUCUUCUUGUAAGGUGGCAGAAAACUGUAUCGGGUGGUGAGAGUGGCAAACUGCUGCAGGCAGCGGGGAACGCCCCUCAUUUCUACUCCAUCCCACCAUUGCUGCUUCCUACCUGGCCGAAGGGGAGAUGUUGCUAGAUUCUAAAGUUGGUUCAGAAAAGUCCAGAAGAUAAAUAAAAAAGAAACUUCAAAUUCCA
rnacentral:lncRNA from 1 species